CUGACGUCUCUGCUCUUUCCUUCCAGCCUGCCCAUGUUUGCUGAGGAACGUGUGUGACCGGUAACCAAGAAGGGACAGUGACCCCCUAUGGCAAGGAUGGAACCCAGGCUGCUCUACCAUCGAGCCCCAGCCUUGUUAUCCCUGGAGACACGGUCACCACGUGGCUGAGGCUGGCUUUGAACUUGCAUCCUCCUGCCUCCCUCCCGAGGUGCUGGAUCCCAGGCGUGCGCACCACGCAGGCCGGGCGUCCCAGUUUUUGACCGAGUCUGUCUCGUCUGGUGCUGUCUUUGGGUCCCCAGCUGCAGGGCAUGGGUUCCUUCUAGGCAGCAAGGUUUUGUUUCGUCGUCGUGGGACAGUUGUGGUAAGUUAUCACGAAACGCCUCUAAAGGGCCUGGGCCUGGAGUUGUUUUGUACCAGGGACUGAACUCGGGCCCUUAACCACGGAGCCACGUCCCCAGGCCUUUUUGAGGCAGGGUCUUGCUAAGUUGCUGAGGCUUGAAAUUCCCAUCCUCCUGCCUCGGCCUCCAGCACCGCUGAUCACAGGACUCCACACCCCACUUGAUUCCUGGACUUAUGUGGGAGUGAGAUUCACAGGAACUGGCUUUGUAGGACAGAGGUCAUGGGCAUCUGUCGUCCAGCUCCAUAACUACAGAACGGUGUCAGAACCCAGAGGGUGACGUUGGUAGGAUCCCUGUGUGUGGAGUCCUGUGACAUUUAGAUGACUGUGGCCACCACGGGGAUCAAGAUCGUUCCUCCUGCACUACAGGGUCCUCCCUCCUCACCACCCUGACCUCUGCACCCAGUCUGUCGUUGAAGAAUCUCACAUCAUCGGUGGCGUGUGGCCUUUGAGAUUGGCUAGUGUCACUCGACAUCACACUUGUACGUGGCUUGUGUGACACUCUGCACCUUUUUAUGGCUGUGGUGGGGGGCCCCGGGGUUGUCGAGACCUAGGACAGACGCUGCUGCUGCUGCUGCGUGGUCACGAGCAGGGUUGGGGCGACGUCCACCUCGACAUCUGGGAGGUCGACGUUCAUGAGUCGCUAACACUAGCCACCUCUCCCUUGCUGGGACCACAUACCCAAGAAACAGGACUUGGAAGAUCUGGUCUGGGGUCCGAGGUCUCCUUCCUGGUCCCUUGGCCCGGGCGGCAGUGGCGGGGCAGAGGGAGCCGCUCAGCCCUCGGUGGUCAGGACGAGGUGCCGCAUCCCAGGAUGUCCCCCAGGUCCCUGCUUCCUCCAGCCAGACCCCAGCUCCCCACCCUGCCCUCAGCUGAAUCCAUCGACAGACCGUCCACUGCUGAGGUCAGAGCCCUGGUGAGCCCCGCCUCGGCACGCUGCUGCCUUGGGGACCUGAGCCUCUGGGGACCUCCUUAUCCAGAUCUAGGUGCUUUCUGUGUCAAGAAUAGCGCAUCGAGAACCUGCCAGGCCAGCUUGUAAUCCGACGUGCUCUGAGGAGGCCGAGGCAGGAGGAGCGCAAGUUCAAGGCCAGCCUUGGCAAUUUCAUGAGACCUGGCCUCAAAGUGAAUCACAAAGAACUGGGGACAUGGCUCGGUGCUAGGCAGCCCUGGGUGAUCCACAGUGGCUAAGCAUUUCACCUUCCCCCCAGCAAUGUCCUCCUGGCCAACACUCGGGAGCGUGACUACUUGUCAUUUCAAGGGUUCUAAUGGGGUGCACUGUCCCCGUGCUUCCCUAAGGCAGUGGGACAGGUUUUCUCACACCUGGAUCCCCCUGGGUUUGGCCCGUCUUCCCCAAGUUCCCUGGCCCCUGGCAGCCGCUGU
rnacentral:lncRNA from 1 species